CAAAUACUCCCUCCGUCAGGAAAUACUUGUCAUCAAAAUGGAUAAAAGGAAAUGUAUCUAGACAUAUUUUAGUUUUAGACACAUCUAUUUUUAUCCAUUUUGAUGACAAGUAUUUUCGGACGGAGGGAGUAGAAA
rfam:Triticum aestivum genome assembly, contig: Triticum_aestivum_CS42_TGACv1_scaffold_058044_1BS